UACGGAGGGUGCAAGCGUUAUCCGGAUUCACUGGGGUUAAAGGGUGCGUAGGCGGCUAGGUAAGUCCGUGGUGAAAUCCUGCAGCUUAACUGCAGAACUGCCAUGGAUACUAUUUAUCUUGAAUGUCGUGGAGGUUAGCAGAAUAUGUCAUGUAGCGGUGAAAUGCUUAGAUAUGACAUAGAAUACCCACUGCGAGGCAGCUAACUACGAGAGAAUUGACGCUGAUGCACGAAAGCGUGGGGAGCAAACAGG
rnacentral:rRNA from 1 species